AAGACUAUACUUUCAGGGAUCAUUUCUAUAGUCGCCGACUCGAGAAAUGUGUUUCUAAAGUGACUGGUCUCGCCGACCACGAUGAAGAGGCAGCGGCACCCUUUCCUGAGCGCGAAGCGGGCGCGGAGAAGCGACUGAGUUCGCACGCUCCCCGCCUUUGAUGACCGUUCACUGUCUCCCCCCGGGGGGGGGACGAUGAGGGGAAGGGUGUGAUCAGAGUGGU